rnacentral:sRNA from 1 species
GGUGACACAGUGACAGAGGGAGGGAUGGGGUGACACAGUGACAGAGUGCGGGAGGGGGUGACUAGUGACAGAGUGCGGGAGUGGGUGACUAGUGACAGAGGGAGGGAUGAGGUGACUAGUGACCAUCACCCCCUCCCUCAUUCUGUCACUAGUCACACCCUCCUUCACUAGUCACCCUCCCCUGUCACUAGUCACCCCUCCCUCACUCUGUCACUAGUCACCCAUUCCCUCCCUCACUCUGUCACUAGUCACCCAUUCCCUCCCUCACUCUGUCACUAAUCACUACCUCACUCU